UUAACUUGAAUUUUAUAAAGCUGAUCGAUAUCUUGGUAAAAUAUUCAUUUUUAAACUAGCGGGCAGUGAAAUCUUUGCUUUGUGCUAAAGUCAACAGUCGCACAAUUUGAGCUCCAAUAAAUGCAGCGAUGCCACUCGUAGUGGCAGUUGCUCGAGGCUGCUGAACGCUGGAUUGUCAUCGCCAUGUGCAGCUCAGGGAGCAGCAGCGCCUGACUUUGGGGGUUUAUUUCAGGCUAACCUCCCGGGGAAGAGAAGGAAGGAUUGGUUUUCCUCUCAGUCACACCGGUUACUGGUAUGAAUUCCCCCGAUUCCAGCAACUUGAUGUACUCUGAAGAUCCUGGGAGUGGUUCCAGGCUCGGCCCCUGGGUGAAGGAUCGGGCCCCUCCCAUUGUGAUAAAACCCGACACAAGCCAUUCUGCCGAAGACAAGGGAGAUUCUCUGCAAACGCGACCCCGUUUUGGAAUGAAGACUCGUGUAAAAGCGUAGCCGGCCCUUGGAAUACAGUGAAGCGAAUGAAUCCUUGGGACCUUCACAGCAAAGUGGAGAGGAGAUAGCUGAGGGGCUGGGUUUUGGGAGCUGUGCCCCCCCCCCCAGUGAUGGCUGCUGAGUUCCCUUUUCUUCUCUGUGCAAGUAAGUCGGCCUCAGAGCAGAGCGAGGAUCUGGAAUUGUAAAGGGACCAGCAGGGAACUGACCAGGGAAUAGUUUUCACUCAAUUCCCACGUUCUCUCGGAUUUCUCUCCUUAUUCCCUGGAGAGCCACCAUUCCCCCCAGCCUGUUAACCGGGGACAAUGAGUGAGAGCCUCGUUUAAUUUAAUUUUCCUGUCAGCCUAAACAGAACUACAUUGUGAACCUUACACUGACUCAUACAGAGCGGGGCUGCUUGGUGUUGCCCCAAACUCCCAAAGAGACAUUGUUCUGGGAACUCCAGGCUGGCAUCAGGCUAGAACCCAAUGAUGUUUUCCAUUUGAGAACGGUGCCCCAAUUGCCACUGAUACAGAGCAAUAGUAGAUCCAGUACCAGGCUGCAAUACCGGGCAUGGGGCUACACACCAACCCAAACCUGCAAGCCACUAGAGGGGAAAGGAAGAGAGAGAUAAAGGAGGAAACUGUAGGUGAGCCCAAUCAUAACUAUUCAACACAGAUGUGUCCAGACAGCAUGUGACACAACCUGGGUUACAGAACGUUUUCCUCAGUGCAGAUGAUGGAUCGUUACAUUUGCCGUUCCACCCCUCCAGUGGGGUUCAUUUGAAAGGACGGAGUAAGAUGUCUUGGAUUGUUGAAUUAUUCUGCCAUCGAGGACCCGACCCUGACACACCCAGGCAAUAACAAAACUCCCAUUGACUUCAAAUAGUAGAAAGGAUCGGGUCCCCUAGCUCCCAGCAGAAUAGCUUACUUCUAAGUUCUUUUCUGCCCUAGUGAAUUUUAUCACUGUUUGUCGUUCUCGGUGGGGGGGGGGAAGUAUCACUUUAUAGAAAUACUACUUCCAUGUUUGCUGUUUGAAUCAACUUUAGUGUUUCCAGGAAGCCUUGUAUUGACAUAUCUUCACCACAGCCAUUCCCAGCCCUUAAAUUAGUUGAAAAUAGAGGCUUAUCAGUCUAAAAAGUAAUAAGUGGUCAGCAGCAAAGAUAUGAAUGUGUUUAUUGCCCCAUCAUCCAGUAUCUCAGCCUAGGAAAAGAAAAGAAACAGCUUGUGUUUGUGGAAAUGCCUCCUGCUUUCAUCAUUUAGAGGAAGGGCUACCUAGGACAAGUGACAGUCUUAUUAAUAUCCUUUGUGUGACUUCAGAAUGAACAGUAGGAACUUGAAUUAAGUAACUGUUUUUAGUGCACAUAUGUUUCCUUUUAAUAUCUCUGCUCUCUUCUGUACUGCAGACAUUAAUCUCCUAAAUGCUUUUUUUAUUACAGUCAGACUAAUUUCAGCCCAGACUGUUCAUUUAUUUGACAACUGACGUGACAUAGGGUACUUAAUGUGUCUCUUUGUGUUCUUGGGUUCAUGCAGCAAUAUUUUGGGUGUCUCCCUGGGAAAUGAAAGGCAUUUCUAAACUUUAAGGUUCUGUUCAUAAAUGCAUU